rnacentral:rRNA from 1 species
GACGAACGCUGGCGGCGUGCUUAACACAUGCAAGUCGAACGGAAGGGCCCUGCUUUUGUGGGGUGCUCGAGUGGCGAACGGGUGAGUAACACGUGAGUAACCUGCCCUUGACUUUGGGAUAACUUCAGGAAACUGGGGCUAAUACCGGAUAGGAGCUCCUGCUGCAUGGUGGGGGUUGGAAAGUUUCGGCGGUUGGGGAUGGACUCGCGGCUUAUCAGCUUGUUGGUGGGGUAGUGGCUUACCAAGGCUUUGACAGGUAGCCGGCCUGAGAGGGUGACCGGCCACAUUAGGACUGAGAUACGGCCCAGACUCCUACGGGAGGCAGCAGUGGGGAAUAUUGCACAAUGGGCGGAAGCCUGAUGCAGCAACGCCGCGUGCGGGAUGACGGCCUUCGGGUUGUAAACCGCUUUCGCCUGUGACGAAGCGUGAGUGACGGUAAUGGGUAAAGAAGCACCGGCUAACUACGUG